AUGACUGAGAGCUGCUGCUCAGCAACUUCACCCACAGCAACCAUGACUUUGAUCAGCGUCUUCAUCUGCACACUGGCCCUCUGGACUCAAGGAUCCAGAGGUCAGGUGACUGUGACUCAGACUCCUUCAGUGCAAACUGUUGCUCCAGGAAACACCGUCACCAUCAACUGUAGAACCAGCAGCAGUGUGUAUAAUAAUAACUACCUCGCCUGGUACCUGCAGAAAUCUGGAGAAGCUCCUAAACUCCUGAUCUACAAUACUAACAGCUUAUACACAGGGACUCCAGGUCGUUUCAGUGGCAGUGGAUCUGGUACUGACUUCACUCUGACCAUCAGAGGAGUCCAGACUGAAGAUGCAGGAGUUUACUACUGUCAGAGUUACCAUUAUAUCAGUAGUAGUGAUGUGUUCACACAGUGUUAG